rnacentral:rRNA from 1 species
UGGGUAACCUGCCUCAAAGAGGGGAAUAGCCUCCCGAAAGGGAGAUUAAUACCGCAUAAUAUGUUUAAGUCGCAUGACUUUAACAUCAAAGGAUUUUCUUUUAGAACUUCCACUUUGAGAUGGACCCGCGGCGCAUUAGCUAGUUGGUGAGGUAACGGCUCACCAAGGCAACGAUGCGUAGCCGACCUGAGAGGGUGACGUCCGACCACUAGUAGACNGA